AUUGAACGCUGGCGGCAGGCCUAACACAUGCAAGUCGAGCGGAGCGGCCGACGGGUGGGUAAUGCCUAGGAGUCUGCCUGGUAGUGGGGGCUAACGUACGGAAACGGGCGCUAAUACAGACUACUAUCAGAUGGGCCUAGGUGGGAUUAGCUAGUUGGUGUGGUAAAGGCCUACCAAGGCGACGCUCCGUAGCUGGUCUGAGAGGAUGAUCAGUCACACUGGAACUGAGACACGGCCCAGACUCCUACGGGAGGCAGCAGUGGGGAAUAUUGCACAAUGGGCGAAAGCCUGAUGCAGCCAUGCCGCGUGUGUGAAGAAGGCCUUCGGGUUGUAAAGCACUUUAAGUUGGGAGGCGUUACCAACAGAAGAAGCACCGGCUAACUCCGUGCCAGCAGCCGCGGUAAUAC
rnacentral:rRNA from 1 species